CCUACGGGAGGCAGCAGUGGGGAAUAUUGGACAAUGGGGGAAACCCUGAUCCAGCAAUGCCGCGUGAGUGAUGAAGGCCUUCGGGUUGUAAAGCUCUUUCACCCACGACGAUGAUGACGGUAGUGGGAGAAGAAGCCCCGGCUAACUUCGUGCCAGCAGCCGCGGUAAUACGAAGGGGGCUAGCGUUGUUCGGAGUUACUGGGCGUAAAGGGCGCGUAGGCGGCCUGGUCAGUCUGGUGUGAAAGCCCGGGGCUCAACCCCGGGAAUUGCACUGGAGACGGCCAAGCUUGAGUGUGGGAGAGGAUGGUGGAAUUCCCAGUGUAGAGGUGAAAUUCGUAGAUAUUGGGAAGAACACCGGUGGCGAAGGCGGCCAUCUGGACCAUUACUGACGCUGAGGCGCGAAAGCGUGGGGAGCAAACAGGAUUAGAUACCCUGGUAGUCCACGCCGUAAACGAUGAGUGCUAGACGUCGGGUCCGUACGGUCGUUCGGUGUCGCGAGCUACGACAUAAGUACACUCCGUCCGUCGGGUACGGUACGGGUCCGGCCGAACGGUUAAAACCGUUAACGAAACUAGUAAGUUAGUACGGCGUGAGACGUCGCCGACGGACGACCGACGAGGGAGUAGG
rnacentral:rRNA from 1 species